UACAGAGGGUGCGAGCGUUAAUCGGAAUUACUGGGCGUAAAGCGUGCGCAGGCGGUCUUUUAAGUCAGAUGUGAAAUCCCCGGGCUUAACCUGGGAACUGCGUUUGAAACUGAAAGGCUAGAGUGUGGCAGAGGGGGGUGGAAUUCCACGUGUAGCAGUGAAAUGCGUAGAGAUGUGGAGGAACACCGAUGGCGAAGGCAGCCCCCUGGGCUAACACUGACGCUCAUGCACGAAAGCGUGGGGAGCAAACAGG
rnacentral:rRNA from 1 species